AAGUCGUAACAAGGUAACCGUAGGUGAACCUGCGGUUGGAUCAUUAAAAAGGACCCGCAGACCGCAGUGAGAAAGAACCCGCUAGGGGACCAAUCAUUGCUGUGGGAGACAUGCACAGGAAUUGACGGAAAAACCCAAAACCCAACCAUGUGAAUCAUUCCGUCUCGGGCGGGGGGGUAGUGAACAACUACCUGUCAGCACAUCGACGGCCCUCUUUGGGCUAUGUGCCGUGGACAACCCGUCCAAGGUCUGUGAAACUCUGUUUUUGUUUGAUAUGUUUUGCGUCUGACAUUGCUUUUGUAUACACACAAAACAACUUUUGGCAACGGAUCUCUUGGCUCUC
rnacentral:misc_RNA from 1 species